GAACCUAGAGUCAAGUAAACCUAGGUUAUGGCAUUAGUGGUAUUAAACCUAGAGUCGAGUGGACCUAGGACAUAAAUGACAUUGGACCUAGUGUUAAUGAACCUAGGUUAUGAAUAUAGUGAUAUUAAACCUAGAGUCGAAUGAAUCUAGGUAGUAAAGAACAAUGAACCUAGGGUUAUAGAACCUAGGCAAUGAACAUAGUGACAUUAGACCUAAUGUUAUUAAACUUAGGUUGGGAAAUGGCUUGGACCUAGAAAGGUUGUCGGUAUAGGGUAUAAGACUAACCCUUGAAAUGUUGAAAGUGGAUUCUGGAAUCCCAGGUCUUGUGGCCUUAGUGAACGUGGUAUGCUCAUGGUUGUGGAUUGGAUCAUACUCACCUAUAAGUCCGAUACUAGAGGGCGGUCGCUCCCCUUCGAGCGAUGAGCUCCGCAGUGAUCAUCACUGGGUCGUAGUGGGUAUCUCCCCAGAGGUUGAGCCUGUCGGGUCGUAGCAGGUAUCUUCCCGAUUGAUGAGCUCCGGAGUUGUCAUCACUGGGUCGUAGCGGGUAUCUCCCCAGAGGACGGUCCUAUCGGGUUGUAGCGGGU
rnacentral:lncRNA from 1 species